UGCGUAGGUGGCGUGUUAAGUCAGUGGUGAAAGCCUGCAGCUCAACUGUAGAGGUGCCAUUGAUACUGACGUGCUUGAGUAUGGACGAGGUAGGCGGAAUUUGUGGUGUAGCGGUGAAAUGCAUAGAUACCACAAAGAACACCGAUAGCGAAGGCAGCUUACUGGACCAUAACUGACACUGAGGCACGAAAGCGUGGGGAGCGAACAGGAUUAGAUACCCUGGUAGUCC
rnacentral:rRNA from 1 species